UGAGUCGGAGGAGCCGCCGCACCGGAGAGCCCCGCUGCCGGUGAGUUUCGAUUUUUUAUAUUUUUUCAGCCAACCAAGACUCUUUAACAUGUAUGUUUGCAAAAAUCGAUACAAAAUCGGUCGACCCGAGAAAUGAUUUUAUGAUUGAUAAAUGAAUUUAUUAAAUUUAAUGCUCCAUUAGUGGUUUUCGAUUUUAUACCAACCUUUAUUUCUGUGCCGGUGAUAUAGUGCGAUAUCCUUACUGGGUUAGUGUAGUUUAUCCUUUAUU
rnacentral:lncRNA from 1 species